GCUAAGGUGGGUCCAGCGGCCGCGGUAAGACAGGGGUCCCAAGCUUGGUUCGGAUUGACUGGGCGUAAAGGGUGCGUAGGUGGCGAGAUAAGUCUGACGUGAAAUCGCCGGGCUUAACCCGGAAAUGGCGUUGGAAACUGCCUUGCUCGAGGAUUGGAGGGGGGACUGGAAUACUUGGUGUAGCAGUGAAAUGCGUAGAUAUCAAGUGGAACACCAGUGGCGAAGGCGAGUCCCUGGACAACUCCUGACACUGAGGCACGAAAGCUAGGGGAGCAAACGGGAUUAGAUACCCUAGUAGUC
rnacentral:rRNA from 1 species